GACGAACGCUGGCGGCGUGCUUAACACAUGCAAGUCGAGCGGUAAGGCCCUUCGGGGUACACGAGCGGCGAACGGGUGAGUAACACGUGGGUGACCUGCCCUCAGCUCUGGGAUAAGCCUGGGAAACCGGGUCUAAUACCGGAUAUGACUCCAUGACGCAUGUUGUGGGGUGGAAAGCCUUGUGCGGCUGAGGAUGGGCCCGCGGCCUAUCAGCUUGUUGGUGGGGGAUGGCCUACCAAGCGGCGACGGGUAGCCGGCCUGAGAGGGCGACCGGCCACACUGGGAC
rnacentral:rRNA from 1 species